UUAUUGAUCUUGUGGAGAGUCCAGACUGUAGACUGAAGACUGUGACUCUGAGGUGCAAGUCAAAGUGAACAGGACGGUAUGUGAGCUGAGAGAGGAUGAGCUGAGUCCUGAUGAUCCAGAAGUUGAAUCAGCAGCAGCUUGUGUGUAGAGAGACUCUGACUGGACCAUGUUACUGGGAGGUGGAGUCAAGAGGAGAGCUUCAUCCACGUGUCUGUUACCAUUGUUAGGAAAUAACAGUAUAAGUGUGUUGUUACAUUUACUCUUUAACACUACAGCAAAAAUAGUUCUUCUACAUGGAAAGCUUUAGUUCAGCUUUUUUUUAAUUAAUUUAUUUAUUUACUUAUUUUAUUUUUAUUUGUGUCAAGAAUUGAAAGAUUGAAAACACUACAAAAAAUGUAAAGUAAAAGUGGGAAACAUUCUCAUGAUAUUACUGUAAUGAUUAAUACUUUCCUGUGGUCAUUAGUGUAAUAAUUUAAUUUAUCUGCUUAUAAUAUAAAACAUGUUCCUUAUGAAAAGAUCUAGUUGUAAACAGUGAUUAUAGAUGUCAGAAUACAUGUAGUGUAGUGGACGUAUAAUGUUUAGAAAGUUGAAGGAGAAGGACACUGAAUUGAAAUGAGAAUAGUACAUAAAGACCGGCAUUAUUUUCAGCUAUGUUGUCUGUGUGUAUUUUGUUGUUUUUCCAGUUGUAUGUAUUUUAUACAAAAAAAGUUGUUGAGAAAAUGUUGUGAUGCAAUGUGAUUUAAUUGCAAAUAUAAAAACAAUCACUUACUGCCAAAUUAAUAACCCUGAUGCUGAAUAUAAUCAAUUAAUGUAAAUUAAUUUAAAUUUGGCAAGUUGGUUUGAUUUAAGUAAGUAAAUUAGUAAAACAUUGUACCACUUGAAUAGAUGGAUUAUAUGUGGUUUAUAAGAAAAUAAAGGAAUAUGAGUUAAAAUGAGAA